rnacentral:rRNA from 1 species
AUUGAACGCUGGCGGCAGGCCUAACACAUGCAAGUCGAGCGGAUGAAGGGAGCUUGCUCCUGGAUUCAGCGGCGGACGGGUGAGUAAUGCCUAGGAAUCUGCCUGGUAGUGGGGGAUAACGUCCGGAAACGGGCGCUAAUACCGCAUACGUCCUGAGGGAGAAAGUGGGGGAUCUUCGGACCUCACGCUAUCAGAUGAGCCUAGGUCGGAUUAGCUAGUUGGUGGGGUAAAGGCCUACCAAGGCGACGAUCCGUAACUGGUCGGAGAGGAUGAUCAGUCACACUGGAACUGAGACACGGUCCAGACUCCUACGGGAGGCAGCAGUGGGGAAUAUUGGACAGUGGGCGAAAGCCGGAUCCAGCCAUGCCGCGUGUGUGAAGAAGGUCUUCGGAUUGUAAAGCACUUUAAGUUGGGAGGAAGGGCAGUAAGUUAAUACCUUGCUGUUUUGACGUUACCAACAGAAUAAGCACCGGCUAACUUCGUG